AAAGUACUCCCUCCGUCCCAAAAUUCUUGUCUUAGAUUUGUCUAGAUACAAAUGUAUCAAGUCACAUUUUAGUAUUAGAUACAUCCGUAUCUAGACAAAUCUAAGACAAGAAAUUUGGUACAGAGGGAGUAGUUG
rnacentral:pre_miRNA from 1 species